UACAGUAUGUAGCAUACACUGUAGAAAAUAAUUUCAUUUUUUUUCAUACCAUUUCUUUGUUUUCGUGUUUUGUUUGUGAAAUGUACAAGCUGAAUUUACUGAGUGAAACUUUUAUCAGAUUGUGUGUACACCAGUCAACCUCAAGAUGGUGCCACUGAAUCACUGUGUAUGUCAACUGAGUACAACCGGACGUUCAUCUCCUGUACAGUAACAAAGGCUCACAUGCUGAGAGAAGUGAGUGUUUGUAUCUAUAUGAGUAUGUGUACAGAUCACUUUUUUAUGCAAUGGUUUGCACUCUUUGACACUUGCUUGGAUGGCUUGAGGGGUUGAGCAUAGGUGCUCUGUGCUGACACUGUGCAGGAUGGAAAGACACGGCCUGAGCCAAGACAGGGCUGGAGGGAGGCCACGGUCACACUGCAGAGCCAGUGUCCCGGUCUGAGCCCACCUCAGUGAAGACGAGUUCCCUAAAGUAUUUAGCGCUGACAUAUGUGGGCAGGACACAGAGAGAGGAGAAACCUAGAAGAUUGGUCAGCUUGACAGCGUGAAGAUUGCUUGGCUUUCCUCGUCAUGCAUUCGAUUCCAAAUCCCUUUUUGCUUCAGCUAGAUCACAUAGAUUAUAGAUUUUAGAAAAUAACAUUUAGAAAACGUAUAUUGAGCCGACUUUAAAUUCUAAACAAAUGAGCCAUGUUCAAAGCCACUGUGUAGCAUGACUUUAUAUGCCAAGUAUAACCUAGUUAGAAACCAAAAAGCUUGGCGGCAAAACGGUUUAUGCCAAUAAACGUUGAUCAAGCAAUAUAAAUGACUUUGCUUUUAUAUGGCAGCUCAUAAAA